rnacentral:rRNA from 1 species
GACGAACGCUGGCGGCGUGCCUAAUACAUGCAAGUAGAACGCUGAAGGAGGAGCUUGCUUCUCUGGAUGAGUUGCGAACGGGUGAGUAACGCGUAGGUAACCUGCCUGGUAGCGGGGGAUAACUAUUGGAAACGAUAGCUAAUACCGCAUAAUAUUGACUAUUGCAUGAUAGUCAGUUGAAAGGUGCAACUGCACCACUACCAGAUGGACCUGCGUUGUAUUAGCUAGUUGGUGGGGUAACGGCUCACCAAGGCGACGAUACAUAGCCGACCUGAGAGGGUGAUCGGCCACACUGGGACUGAGACACGGCCCAGACUCCUACGGGAGGCAGCAGUAGGGAAUCUUCGGCAAUGGACGGAAGUCUGACCGAGCAACGCCGCGUGAGUGAAGAAGGUUGUCGGAUCGUAAAGCUCUGUUGUAAGAGAAGAACGAGUGUGAGAGUGGAAAGCUCACACUGUGACGGUAUCUUACCAGAAAGGGACGGCUAACUACGUG